GACAGUGACUGAGGAAGGGGGGGAUGUCCUGGAAAAUGGACCAUGCCAGACUGUGGAUGAGCUAAAUACACUAAACACAGAACUGGGAAAUAAGGACAAAAGGACCAAGCUGAUGAACUACCUUCGAUCGCUUGGAGGAACAAAUUCAGGGGCAGCCGUGCGCAAAAUGUUGCGCAAGGUUGCAUCAAAUAACGUAUUGAGUGCCUACAGCUUCAAAGGAAAAAAGGGAAAACUAGCCUUCAAAGAUUUAAUUAUCUGCGAUAUAAUUAUAGGCAAGU